GGUCGGAUGGUGUAGUUGGUUAUCACGUCAGUCUAACACACUGAAGGUCCCCAGCUCAAGCCUGGGUUCGAUCA
rnacentral:tRNA from 1 species